ACAGACCAGUGGACCACAUCUUUAACAAAUAGUAUCAAAUCUGUGAUCAGUAUUGGGUGCCGUAGAUUGUGUAUGAUAAGCUGUUGGAUAACACAGUGCCACCGACUCGGCCCGCUACCAAGGACUGUGGGUUCUCUUCCGUGGCCGACGUAAGUAAGACAUUUAAGCGUGUUAACCCUUGUAAGGCUGCCGACCCAGACGGCAUCCCUAGCCGAGUCCUCAGAGCAUGCGCAGACCAGCUGGCUGGAGUAUUUACGGACAUAUUCAAUCUCUCCCUAUUCCAGUCUACAUGUCCACAUGCUUUAAGAUGCCCACCAUUGUUCCUGUACCCAAGAAAGCAAAGAUCCAGAGAAAAUGCAAUCGCCAUCAAACUGCACACUGCCCUAUCCCAUCUGGACAAGAGGAAUACCUAUGUACCCUCCAAGCUCAUCAUUAAGCUUGAGGCCUUGGGCCUGAACCCCGCCCUGUGCAACUGGGUCCUGGACUUCCUGAUAGGCCGCUCCCAGGUGGUGAAGGUAGGAAAAAACACCUCCACCUUGCUGAUACUCAACACUGGGGCCCCACAAGGAUGCCUGCUCAGCCCCCUCCUGUACACCCUGUUCACCCAUGACUUCAUGGCCAUGCACACCAAGUUUCUUGUUUACCCCCUUUUUCUCCCCAAUUUCAUGGUAUCCAAUUGGUAGUUACAGUCUUGUCUCAUCGCUGCAACUUCCAUAUAGACUCGGGAGUGGGGAGGGUCAAGAGCCGUACAUCCUCCGAAACGCAACCCAACCGCACUGCUUUUUGACACAAUGCCCACUUAACCUGGAACCCAGCCACACCAAUGUGUUGGAGGAAACACCAUACACCUGGUGACCAUGUCAAAAUGCACUGCACCCUGCCCGCCACAGGAGUCACUAGUGCACGAUGGGACAAGGACAUCCUUGCCAGCCAAACCCUCCCCUAACGACGCUGGGCCAUUGUGCGACGCCCCAUGGGUCUCCUGGUCGCGGCCGGCUGCAACAGAGCCUGGACUCGAACCCAGAAUCUCUAGUGACACAGACUGUAGUUGUACCUUUAUCAGUUUAUAUUCUACUGGUCUCUCUGUUUAUCUUCUACCUGUCUCUCUUAUCUGUUUAUCUUCUACCUGCCUUAGACCACUGCGCCACUCAGGAGGCCGCAAUCAUCACGUUUGCAGACGACACAACAGUAGUAGACCUAAUUAUCAGCCUAUAGGGAGGAGGUCAGGGCCCUGGGAAUGUGGUGCCAGCAAAAUAACCUCUCACCCAACGUCAACAAAACAAAGGAGCUGAUUGUGGACUUCAGGAAACAGCAGAGGGAGCACCCCCCUAUCCACAUUGACAGGACCGCAGUGGAGAAGGUGGAUAGCUUUAAGUUCCUCUGCGUACACAUCACUGACAAACUGAAAUGGUCCACCCACACAGACAGUGUGGUGAAGAAGGCGCAACAACAGCACCUCUUCAACCUCAGGUUGAGAAGGCUGAAGAAACAGGAGGCUGAAGAAAUUUGGCUUGGCACCUAAAACCCUCACAAACUUUUAAAGAUGCACAAUUGAGAACAUACUGUUGGGCUGUAUCACCGCCGGGUACGGCAACUGCACAGCCCACAACCGCAGGGCUCUCCAGAGGGUGGUGCAGUCUGCCCAAAGCAUCAACGGGGGAAAACUACCUGCCCUCCAGGACACCUACAGCACCCAAUGUGACAGGAAGGCCAAAAAAAUAAUCAAGGACAACAACCACCCGAGCCACUGCCUGUUCACCCCGCUAUCAUCCAGAAGGUGAGAUCAGUACAGGUGAAUCAACGCUGGGACCGAGAGACUGACAAACAACUUCCUUCAGAUGGUUAAAUACUGUUAAAUAGGCGUCACUAGCACAUUAGAGGCUGCUGCCCUAUAUACAUAGACAUGGAAUCACUGGCCACUUUAAUAAUGUAACACUUGUCACUUUAAUCAUGUUUACAUAUUUUGCAUUACUCAUCUCAUAUGUACAGUUGAAGUCGGAAGUUUACAUACACUUAGGUUGGAGUCAUUAAAACUCGUUUUUCAACCACUCCACAAAUUUCUUGUUAACAAACUAGUUUUGGCAAGUCGGUUAGGACAUCUACAUUGUGCAUGACACAAAUAAUUUUUCCAACAAAUCUUUACAGACAGAUUAUUUCACUUAUAAUUCACUGUAUCACAAUUCCAGUGGGUCAGAAGUUUACAUACACAAAGUUGACUGCGCCUUUAAACAGCUUGGAAAAUUCCAGAAAAGGAUGUCAUGUUUUUAGAAGCUUCUGAUAGGCUAAUUGAUAUAAUUUCAGUCAAUUGGAGGUGUUCCUGUGGAUGUAUUUCAAGGCCUACCUUCAAACUCAGUGCCUCUUUGCUUGACAUCAUGGGAAAAUCAAAAGAAAUCAGCCAAGACCUCAGAAAAAAAAUCUGCUUCAUCCUUGGGAGCCAUUUCCAUACGCCUGAAAGUACCAUAUUCAUCUAUUACAAACAAUAGUACACAAGUAUAAACACCAUGGGACCACGCAGCCGUUAUACCGCUCAGGAAUGAGACGCGUAAUGUACUUUGGUGCGAAAAGCACAAAUCAAUCCCAGAACAACACAAGGACCUUGUGAAGAUGCUGGAAGAAACAGGUACAAAAGUAUCUAUAUCCACAGUAAAAACGAGUCCUAUAUCAACAUAUCCUGAAAGGUCGCUCAACAAGGAAGACGUCACUGCUCCAAAACCGCCAUAAAAAAGCCAGACUAUGGUUUGCAACUGAACAUGGGGACAAAGAUAGUACUUUUUGGAGAAAUGUCCUCUGGUCUGAUGAAACAAAAAUAGAACUGUUUGGCCAUAAUGACCAUUGUUAUGUUUGGUGGAAAAAGGGGAGGCUUGCAAGCCGAAGAACACCAUCCCAAACGUGAAGCACAGGGGGUGGUAGCAUCAUGUUGUGGGGGUGCUUUGCUGCAGGAGGGACUGGUGCACUUCACAAAAUAGAUAGCAUCACGAGGGAGGAAAAUUAUGUGGAUAUAUUGAAGCAACAUCUCAGGACAUCAGUCAGGAAGUUAAAGCUUGGUCGCAGAUGGGUCUUUAAGAUGGACAAUGACCCCAAGCAUACUUCCAAAGUUGUGGCAAAAUGGCUUAAGGACAACAAAGUCAAGGUAUUGGAGUGGCCAUCACAACGACCUGACCUCAAUCCCAUAGAAACAUUUGUGGGCAGAACUAAAAAAGCGUGUGCGAGCAAGGAGGCCUACAAACCUGACUCAGUUACACCAGCUCUGUCAGGGGGAAUGGGCCAAAAUUCACCCAACUUAUUGUGGGAAGCUUGUGGAAGGCGACCCAAAACGUUUGACCCAAGCUAAACAAUUUAAAGGCAAUGCUACCAAAUGCUAAUUGAGUGUAUGUAAACUUAUGACCCACUGGGAAUGUGAUGAAAGAAAUAAAGGCUGAAAUAAAUGAUUCUCUCUACUAUUAUUCUGACAUUUUACAUCCUUAAAAUAAAGUGGUGAUCCUAACUGACCUAAGACAGGGAAUUUUUAGUAGGAUUAAAUGACUGAGUUUAAAUGUACUUGGCUAAUGUGUAUGUAAACUUCUGACUUCAACUGUAGAUACUGUACUCUUAUUCUACUGUAUUGUAGUCUAUGCCGCUCUGACAUUGCUCGCCGAAAUAUUGAUGUUUUCUUAAUUCCAUUCCUUUAGAUUUGUGUGUAUUGUUGUGAAAUGGCUAGAUAUUACCGUUAGAUUUCACUGCACUGUUGGAGCUAUAAACACAAGCAUUUCACUACACCCGCAAUAACAUCUGCUAAACACGUGUAUGUGACAAAUACAUUUGAUUUUAAUUCCAACAUAGAAUUAUCCUCUUGUCACCUCAGCCUGAGUGUGGGAAUAAUUGUUAAUAUGAACAAACACGCCACCGUAAAUGAUUACCAUUCUAUAUACAAUGCGUGAGACAUUGAAAACAAACCUAUCGUCAACAACUACAUGUCAGGGUAGAAAAGUUUAUUGGUAUAAAUAUGUCAAACAAAAUCGAUUUUUAAGACAGUAUGUUGAUGACUCACUCUGCUCUUCAAGUUGCUUUAGGAUGAGAUGGAAAACCACUCACGUUCACGCAAACCUUGCAACACUGCUUAUUACAUUGCAUAUUAACAUUUAAGAGUUUGUUCUGGGUCAAACAUUGUACUACUGGUCAUAACAACAUAACACUGAAAGGUUGUUCUAAGCAUACCGCUUUUGAUUUGAUUGAGAGCUAGCAGACUUUGGAACACUGACUGGUAAAACUGUACAGCAUGGAUGAACUCGUAGCAUUACAACAGGUUGGUGGACGGAUGGACUGGGCCCAGGACUCGCAAUACACAAGAAUAAUAAUAAAUAAUGAAAACAACUACUUAUUUCUAUUAACUCCUGAGACAAUACUGUCACUUAAUACUGAUACUUAGAGUAAACAUGAAAUAAUAUUGGGCAGAGGAGUCGCCCCACUCCCUCCGCUACUAAAGCAAACUCUCCCAUUAGAGGAGCGACACCAUGCAAAAAUAACAUUGAAAGCAACAUUACACUCCAAAGAACAAGUAAUUAAACAUUGAACAACUCAUUUUUUGUGACAGUUUUUACAACCAGCCUCAAUUGGUAAGAUCUGGUGUCUGCCAGAUAUAGUACCAUAGAAUAAGACAGGAGAUAUGUUUUGAUAUAGUGACAGGUGAUGGAUGGUUGCUUUCGACUGGCACUGCGGUCUGUGAGGGAAUUACGGGGAAUUCACGUGGGCUUUAUUGUGACUCAAUUUAGACAUCAUUCACUUUAGUUGGGAUAAUUGCUUUGCUUUGAGGACUUGAAGCGCUUUGCAAAUUGACAGCAGGUCUAUUUUGACCCUGCCAACAGAGCUCUGAAGAUUCAACCAACUGCAUAAAACUUCCUAGCAGAAAUAAAAACCCAUCUAAACACAGCUUUUGUUCACAUAGAUAAUAAUGUGCAAUGUGUUAUCAUCAGAGUGUGACUGUAGAGAUGGAGUGAUGCAUCAUGGACAUUUCUCGACCCAAAGGUCAUAGGUCGAAACCUCAGUGGGCGGUAGGGCGUGCCCUGCUCGGCCCCUCUGAGGCUGCUGGCUCGCUGGGCGGGGCGUCCUCCGUCACGGCAGAGGUGGUCUCCGACCCUGUGUUACUGUCACUGGUGCCCUCCUCCAUCACCCCUUCUGGAACACUCUCCUUGUCCUCUGACGGCGCCCCCUCCUCAACCUCACUGGCAGGACGAGCCGUCGACUCCUCCGUGGCCUUUGACUUCUCUGUAACCAAGAAAGCAGGAAAUAUUAGGAGACAGCAAACACGUUUGGACCAAUGUAGUUUCAAGUGUGAAAUUAACAUUGUAAAAUGCGCUCAACAGACAAUCUUCCAAAAUAAGCAUCUACCGAAGAGAGAAUACCUAACUCAGGGGACAUGACCAGAACCUGACCAGAUCCAUACAUUAAAAGACCAUACGGUUUAGUGAUUAAUACUGUUGGGCCUCACCACCAGUAUCCAUGGGGCUGGGUUCAGUCUCCUCUCUCUCCUUGUUGCUGCUGUCACUGAAAGACUCCUGCUGGCUCUUGCUGCCGUUUGACGGGCCAACUGGUUUCUCCUCCUCCUCCAGGCAAGAGGACGUGGACGCCUCCUUCUCCCGCUCCGACAUACGCCUGCGGGAUGCAUCCUCUGCCGCAGCGACCUCUGCAGAUAUCUUCUCCAUGUCCACCUCCACUUUCAUACAACACAGCUGGACGCAGAGUGGCAAUAUGUUGAGUCUCCCCACCGGGGGAUUAAUUCUGGGGAUUAAUGCUCUUAAUCUCGCAAUCAAUCUCACACCUGUGCAACUGUGAUUAGUAACAUGGACUGUGAUUAGUGAGUACACCGUGAUUAAUGUUGCCACCUUGAUCAGAUUUGGCACAGUUCCUAUUUCCUCUACAAUGAUACUACAUUGCAAGGCAGUUAACCCACUGUUCCCUGGGCGCCAUGGAUGUCGAUGAAGGCAGCCCUCCACACCUCUCUAAUUCAGAAGGGUUGGGUUAAAUGCGGAAGACACAUUUUAGUUGAACGCAUUCAGUUGUACAACUUACUAAAUAUUCCCCUUUCAAUCAUUUUAUUUCAUUGAAUUGCCCAUUGUGAAGCAUAGAGGAAGUAGAUGGACUCUAAGUAAAUGGCGCCACCUGGGGUAUGGACUACACAGUGCAUUCACUAUACAUUUUACAUUUACAUUUAAGUCAUUUAGCAGACGCUCUUAUCCAGAGCGACUUACAAAUUGGAUACAGUGCAGUAUCUGGAUUCAGAACUGCAACGAGUCAGUCUACAAAUUCUAAGUGAUGACGCCGCAUGUUAGCCAGGACACAUGGAUAAAGUUAGCAGCUGAAGAUAUCUACAAUGCAGAACUGGUCUGAGGUCAACACUGUAAUAUUUACUAUGUGCAACACAAUGGAUUGCGUACAAGUUCCUGGAUGAUGAUUCCAUACCCUUUUCAGCUCGCUGGUGAAAGACUCUGUGGCAUCGAUGAAUUUCCUUUUCUUGUCCUGGUGGCGGUCUUCAAUCUGAAGUAGCUCCGCCUCCAGCUUCCUCUGUGGACCAGACACACAGAGAGAGACCUGCCAAUUUACCGGACUGAUUACCUGUUUUUAAUGAUUACUCAUUUAUCAAAUAAGAAGAAAGGAUUUGAUAUCCAGGUUACCAUGACAACAACACCAUGACUGGGAACAUCCAACUUAAUAGUGCUAAGUAGAGUAAUAUCUGUAUUUCUGUAGGAAGACUGAUAGAAGACUGACUAAAGACUGACAGACCCAGCGUAGCGUACCUGGUGCACCAUAAGAGACUGGACCUGCCGUUUUAAGACCUGCAUGCGGGCGGUAGUGACGACGGAGCGCACGUCGGGGACCACGCUCUCGCUCAGGAUCUCACUGAUCAGGCGGUGGUUACGCUGGAAACGGGCGGCAGCCGAGUGCUUCAUGGAGAAUCCAUCGUCGUAAUCUGGGAAGGAGAAUGGAAAAGGCGUGUGGCGGGUGCUAUGUGUCUAUCAGAGCUCAAUGAACACAACUGUCAAUGGGGAAAGAGCGGAGAGAUCCCACCCAAUAAGUAUAGAUGUGGUCGGCCUCAGGAAAGAAAUCUGAUCUGGCAUAUCUUAAUCGGACAUAGCUUAACAUUGACAUACCUACGUUUGGUUAAAUCAUUUAUAGCAGUAGGAAAUGUCUGCAUAUUUGGCUGUUUGCAUGUUUGUUGUAUGAAUAUACUUGAAAAUACACAUUUGCAAAGGAGGUUUCAA